rnacentral:rRNA from 1 species
UACGUAGGUGGCAAGCGUUGUCCGGAUUUAUUGGGCGUAAAGGGUGCGUAGGCGGCGGAGUAAGUUGGGUGUGAAAUCCCGGGGCUCAACCUCGGAAUGGCAUUCAAUACUGCUUCGCUAGAGUACUGGAGAGGAGGUUGGAAUUUACGGUGUAGCAGUGAAAUGCGUAGAUAUCGUAAGGAAGGCCGGUGGCGAAAGCGAGCCUCUGGACAGUUACUGACGCUGAUGCACGAAGGCCAGGGGAGCAAACGGG